rnacentral:rRNA from 1 species
GUGGGGAAUAUUGCGCAAUGGGGGAAACCCUGACGCAGCAACGCCGCGUGAAGGAUGAAGGUUUUCGGAUCGUAAACUUCUUUGAUGAGGGACGAAGAAUGACGGUACCUCAAAAACAAGCCACGGCUAACUACGUGCCAGCAGCCGCGGUAAUACGUAGGUGGCGAGCGUUGUCCGGAAUUACUGGGUGUAAAGGGCGUGUAGGCGGGGAUACAAGUCAGAUGUGAAAUACCGUGGCUUAACCACGGGGCUGCAUCUGAAACUGUAUUUCUUGAGUGUCGGAGAGGAAAGUGGAAUUCCCAGUGUAGCGGUGAAAUGCGUAGAUAUUGGGAGGAACACCAGUGGCGAAGGCGACUUUCUGGACGAUAACUGACGCUGAGGCGCGAAAGCGUGGGGAGCAAACA